GAUGAACGCUAGCGGCAGGCUUAACACAUGCAAGUCGAGGGGCAGCAUGAGACGGAGAUUCGUCGAAGUCUUGAUGGCGACCGGCGCAAGGGUGCGUAACGCGUGAGCAACUUGCCCGUUUCUGGGGAAUAACCGGUGGAAACGCCGACUAAUACCCCAUAGCAUAUUUAGGAGGCAUCUCUUGAAUAUUAAAGAAUUUCGGAAACGGGUAGGCUCGCGUGACAUUAGCUAGAUGGUGGGGUAACGGCCCACCAUGGCGACGAUGUCUAGGGGUUCUGAGAGGAAGGUCCCCCACACUGGAACUGAGACACGGUCCAG
rnacentral:rRNA from 1 species